rnacentral:piRNA from 1 species
UGCUAAUAGCUUUUUGAUGUUUUCGCUCA